CAGAGUCUGAUGUCAGCAACUUCUUGAUGCCCUGGAAAGCUUCAUUGUGCUGGCCACAUAGCAGAGCUGCUUCAUCGCUUACUGGAUAAAGGAGCUCAGUGGAAGUGAGCAGGCCAUCCAGGAGAUAAUCGAACUCACAAAAUUCAGCAAAAGGACGGAGCUCAGCCAGUUACAGCUCCAAGUUCCAAGUCUACAACAACUGCAGGAGGAUUUCCCAACAGGUUAUUCAUUGCAACAUAGCAACUGGGAAAGAAACAGACUUGGAAUCAUCUUUUCCUCAUAUUUCCAGGAAGGAUCUCCAGUGUAUUUUCAGUUCAUUCAUCACUAAAGUUUAAAAAGUGGAAAACAAGGUCUGACUGACAGUACCAGCAGCCACUGGAUACUAUUUUCUACACUAGAUUCUUUCCUUAUCCAAUCCAAUUUAGUGUUCAGUUUUCUGGGUUAAUCACAUUUGUGAUAAUGCUGUCUCAGAGUUUAAUCCUAUGCUUUAAAUGUUUUGAUAUAAAAUUUAUAAUCUGUAUUAAGUAUCAUAGAUUUGAAAGUCUGGCACCAGUAUGAAGAUUGUAUACCCCAACAGUAAAAUAAUGCCAACUGCUUCAAAAGUUAUGUUAUUGU